UACAGAGGGUGCGAGCGUUAAUCGGAAUUACUGGGCGUAAAGCGCACGUAGGUGGCGACGUAAGUCGGGUGUGAAAGCCCCGGGCUCAACCUGGGAAUUGCAUUCGAGACUGCAUUGCUGGAGUACGGAAGAGGAGGGCGGAAUUCCCGGUGUAGCGGUGAAAUGCGUAGAUAUCGGGAGGAACAUCAGUGGCGAAGGCGGCCCUCUGGUCCAGUACUGACACUCAAGUGCGAAAGCGGUGGGGAGCAAACAGG
rnacentral:rRNA from 1 species